rnacentral:ncRNA from 1 species
AAUAUUGAAGAAAGCAGGAAAGAAUGGGUGAAGCGAUAGGGCGACUCACAAGUAACAUGGCAGUUAUGCUGAUAAACGUAUCAGACAGAGUGAGUGCAGAAUAAACAAGACCCAUCAAAGCAGUUGAAGAAAGCAGGAACGGCAGGACAAGAAAGCACAGUGUUCGGAACUAUUUGAAGAAAACUGAACAGGUUGAGCCAAUCAACACUUUACUCCUCAAUCAAAAAGCCGUUAAGUGGAAGAAUCAACCGAGCGAGAGGACACAGCACUUCAAUAUU